GGCCCUCAGUGUGUUUCUGUUAAUGAUGUUUUAACCAACAUCACAGUGGAAGUUGGAAUGAGCAGGAUGAUUUGACUUUGCUGUUGCUGUUGUUGUUGCUUUUCUGGCCCUGGCCAAGUUAUGCAAAUAAGCAGCGGGUGGAAGUUCCACGAGGUAAGACCGUAAGAGAAGUACUGUUUGGCAACAGCUCAGACCUUUGGGAAUCGUAUUAUGGGAUGUUGCAGCGAGACAGCAUGGUUUGGAGAAGAUGGUGAGUUAUUGAACAUUACCUUUGUUUUUUUUCUCAAAUUUAGCAUUAUUUUUUUCAACUAUUUAAAGGUCAUAAUUUAAUGAUUUAUAUAUUAAAAUCCUAGUUACUUUAUGAUAUGAAUUUUGUUUUAUAUAGUUGAUUAUUAUGUACAGAAUGAUGUUGGAAAAUUUCGUCUUGACGUAAAAGCUAGUUUUUUGUUAACUACAGAAGCUUUGUAUACCAUGUGUGCACACGUGUACGCUAUGUGGCUUUUGACAGGCAUGUUGAUAAUUAACAGAAUACACGUUUAAACAUGGUUAGAUGAGCCUAGGCUAGUUGCUGUAGUAGUACAGAAGGACCCUACUAGACUAGGGUAUGCCUAGGUUAGCCCUGCUUUCUAGCUAGCUAGGCUAACCUAGCACAUAUGAUUAAGGACGGGCCUGUCCUAUUACUACUAGGCCUAGGCUAUUAUAUUAUAUUAUUAUUUAUUUAUAUUAAUUAUUAUAGGCUGUGGAGGGUCCAGGGACCUAGGGAUCGUUAAUAAUAUUAGAUAAUAUUAGUCAAUAAUACCUAGGCCUAGACUAUCAGGUACUAAGUAGGUUGUGUUAAUGUGGUGGUGUUAAUUGGUCUAGGCAGCCUAGUACUAGUUAAUAUUUCGAUCCAUUAAUUAUAUUGACAAGUCGACAAAAAAAGAAUUGAUGUAAAACUGUUUUAAUUUUAAUAAAACAAAUUAAGUUACUAUUUGUAUAUGAUUUUUCAUACCGUAAUUAUAACUCAUUUUAAUUUAUUUCAAUUGUUUCAGAUACAUGAAAAUAUGACAUGUAGUAAACCAUCAUAUCACGCACGAGAAUCCACAUGGAUUCGGCUAGUAAGGGCGCAUAGAAAAAUGGUGAAUUAUACAUAACAUAAAAUAAUUGUGUGUGCAACCAAAGCAGAAAUAAUUUUUAAAGUUCCAAAUAUAAUUACAACACUAAAUUACACAAUUUCAGUUACCUCGCAACACUUGUGCACAUGAUUGCCCACAAAUGCCUUGCCAUGAUAUGCCUGGCGUUCUACCUUUCUGACCUGCAACACAUCAUCCAAUGCACAGACUAUGGGUCCUGAGCCAAAUUUAAGUUGUUUAUCAAGCUUCAUUUCCUUAUAGAUGCAGUGUACAAAUUUAAGUUGUGUUAAUUUAAUAUUGGUUAAAACAAUACAAUACAGUGUAGUGUUUUAUAUUUCUGUAAUGUGCUCAAUAAAAUGUAUUGAUUUUUAUUAAUAUUGUACUUUAUACUAACCAGAUCUUUAAUUUCUUGUUGUUUAACAGCUAUGUUCCUCACUGCAUUGCACACUGCCUUGGAUUUAGUAAUGUUUUUGUUAAUAAAUACCAGCGGUAUUUCAUCUUCGAGAAGAUAAAGAUAGAUUUGAUAAGGCAAAAGAAAUUCAAGGCAUCGAGAAACAGAAGUGGCUGCAAGAUACAGGGAAAGUGUUAGGACAUCCAGGAGAAUGUGAUAUUUUGCGGAGUUGCUGCCAAGCAGGAUCACAGUCAACCUUGAUAGCCAGUGACCUGUCAACAUCAACUAUGGAUGGAGUUGCAGAUGCAGAGAUUUCGUGUGCUAAUUGAUUGUUGCUAUCCCCAUGUGAUAUCACCUCGCGUAAAGAUGACAUUUCCUGUGUACGUCGUUGAAGACUCCUUUUGCACACAUUGCUGCUGGAUUUUGCUGCUUUUGUGAUUACAGCAAUCUUCACUGGCUGAAAUAUUGUAAUCACACAAUUUAAAUACAGUUUUCAAAGUGCUACUGCAUUACAAAUGCAAUUAAUAAAAUAUUUUCUAAUGCUGUAAUUAUGUUAAAGAAUGUUAAAUUAAAUUUGUUUAGUAUAAAAUAAUUAAACCCUAACCCUUCCUCUAGUUUGGAUUUCAACCUCUUUGCACUGCUUGAGAGAUCGAUACACCACUUUAUUAGCCAACUGUUGAACUUCAACUGGUAUAGCAUUUUGAUUUUCCUCAAUUUCUUGUGCAAUUGUGGUGAUUGCACUGGAUAUUCUAUUGUAUUGUUGUUCAGCUGGUGUAGAGCACUUAUGUUGAUGGCAGUCAUCAAAUUUUAGGGUUUCACCGCAUGAUUUACAUAACAGUUGCACAGAUUUCAAUGAGUUCUGAACAAUCAUGGAUGGUGUUUUCACAUCAGAUACAUUCACAGGACACCUGCAGACAAAACAAGGGCAUUGUCGGUCUCGAAGUGUGCCAAACAGUUUUGAUAGUUUCUACAUUUUCUACUGACAUAAUACGCAGACAAAUGGCACAUUCAAAUAAUGAUAACGAUGAUUGAUCUUUGAUUGUAAAUUGUUGAUUCAAUGCAUUGUGCUGUAAAUGCUUAGAACAAAUGAUGGGUUUCAUUCUGUAACCUGUUUUUUUGUUGUUCUUUGAAUAAAUAACAUGAAAGGCACAGGGUUCGUACGGGUUUUGGAAAGUCAUGAAAAGUUAUGGAAAUUUGUUUAGGUAAUUUCCAGGACCUUAAAAGUUAUGGAAAAAUUAUUUGGUUAUGGAAAAGUUAUGGAAAUAUGUAGAAUGUGACAAAUAAAAUAAAUAGUAUGUCAAA
rnacentral:lncRNA from 1 species